AAAAAACGUAUUUCAUUAAAUGGUAGCAAACAAAUAACAUCACAUAGCAAUGAAGAAUUAUUACAUUUGGAUCAAUUUUGAAAUAAUUCCUUUGCAUGCAAUAUUUUGCAACUCAUCACCAAAUAGGAACUCCAAUAGCUUAAAAAUCCCAAUCCUCAACUUUCUAUCGUCGGUCAACACAAAUUUUCACGCAUUAAAUUAUCCUUUUGUCUCAGCAAUUUCUCCAACACAAUUUGACUCCACCCAUCAAAAUACUUAACAAAUUAAAGACUAAAUUAGAAAAAAAAUUAACAAUGAGCACUAAAUUUAACAACUGAUAAACUUAAUGAAAAAUAAUCUUAAUCCUAAUCAAAUUAAACAUUACAAUUAAGUCUUUAAAUUUUGAGUAUCUGUAAAACAUAUUGAAGCCCUCAAACCAUAUACAACACCCUUACCUGACUCAUAGAUUUUGAGUUUUGCAAAAGAAAAAAGAUAUCGAUGGAGCUUCAGGUUUAACUUGGUGUGAAAUGAUUUAGAGCUUUGAAAUAAGGAAGGCAAGAAAAGAGUAGAGAUGGUCACGAU
rnacentral:lncRNA from 1 species